rnacentral:lncRNA from 1 species
AUCAAACAAGUCAGGUGGUAAGCUGAGUUGUUAACCUAAAUUCCGAGAAUUUUACAUUAUUGAAUGUUGUUGUAUAGACAAAUCAUGACUUAAAUAAAGCUACUCGGCGUGAAACAAACCUUCGUCAAGCCUUGGAGAGAGAUAUAUCAUCCCUACGCCGCGACCAUUGCUCUUCAAGAUAAGCUGCCUGAGAUCAGACACAUCUAGAAAAUAAUAGGGCAACAACACAAAGCAAGUCUCCUCUAAACUCAUACUUUUAAUAUACAACACCCAUGAUGGAGUCUCUGAAUCGCAAUAAUGGAGCGCUAGAAAUUGAGUUAGAGCUAACUUGAACAGCGGCGGCAACUCAUGGAUUCCUUCAAAACAGCAGGAAAUGAAAGACCUUAGACCUGACGAGGUGUGAGUCCUGAUGAUGUAGCCUGAAAAUAGUGAGGUCUUACUUAAUCUUUAUGGAAGAAAGUGGAAGAAGCUAAUUAUGGUUAAUCUAGUGAUUGUUGAUUUUUUUCUUGAUUAUAUGCAUCAAAUUCCUAGUUGUUUUCGAAGGAAACAAAAGUAACACCUUAUAUGAUAAGAAAUAGUAAGAGAUUUGAGCUCCUCUUCUGCUAGCACCCUCAGUUCUUAGACCUGAUACUUUCUACAGUUUACAACCAUGCAAGGUGGCUUGAGACACUUGAGACAUGUUUCACAUAUUCUAGGAUUCAUUUUUGAAUGAACUUCUGUAGAAUGGUAGUGCCAUACUUCUGCACAUAAAUUCACAAGUUAGCUAGCAGUAGGAUCAGUGAUAAGCUAAAUUAGAUCGAACUUGCACUAUUGAACAGUUCAAAACUGAAGAGUAAUACAUUUUCUGAUGCUUCUACUUUUCCCUGUUCAACCAUUUGUAGUUCAAUGUGCAGAGGCCUCUGCGUUCAUGGCAAAAGGAACUUCAUGGCGGUGUCCAAGAGGCACGUGGAUCACUCAAUGGCGAUGUGCGGCGGCAACCAAGAUAUAUGCAACAACAACCAAGGUUUUAAACAACAUCUUCAAUGUACUUUGCAAACAGUGGAUCCUUUUCCCUCUCAGAAUACUUCUUAGUCCACCCUCUUGUUGAACAUCACAUAAACGAGAUCAUUCAACUUCUUCCGACCUAAUCUGGUUCUCUUCUUUAAGUGUAACUACAACAUAAAUAUAGUUGUACAUGCCCCUGAUUGUGAUGAAUACAACUGUUACGAUGAUUGACGACAUCAUACAGGAAGGACAAUAUGUGUUCACACAAGAUCAAAAUAUUAUGUAUUGUUUGAGAUGUUGUCAAAUGAGUAAUUUUGUUUGAAAUGUUUUUUAGCUAGUCUAUAAUCCAAAGUCGAGCUCCUUGUCUACUGUAACUGUAAGUAUUACUAACAUGGCAGUAGGGAAAUCUUGCUUCCUUUGUAUAAACAAAAGCAAAGCUUAUAGGCUUGAGUGUAGUCUGCUGCUGGACUAAAGGCCGUAGAGCUGGGGAGCGGACUGGCCAGACUGUAUGAGCUGGACUGUCGGAGGCGGAGCAUGGUGGCCAGCAAGGGGAUGGGGGCAUCAAGCAAGGCUGAC